rnacentral:lncRNA from 1 species
AUACGAGCUUAGUUUCCAGAAGGUCAAUAGAUGUUUCAAGAUGCCGAUACUCUCAUAUAAUCCUUAUUCAGUUCAAGGCGCUUGGUUCAAAUCUUUUCUUGUAUUUUUCACAUGCUAACCAACAGGUGUAGACUAACAGAGAAAUGCUGACUGACAGAUCCUUCUCAACAAUGCAGAGAGAGACAACAGGUGUAGACUAACAGAGAUAUGCAGACUGACCAGCCCUUAACCAACAGGUGUAGACCUCACAGUGAAAUGCAGACUGACCAGCCCUUAACCAACAGGUGUAGACCUCACAGUGAAAUGCAGACUGACCAGCCCUUAACCAACAGGUGUAGACCUCACAGUGAAAUGCAGACUGACCAGCCCUUAACCAACAGGUGUAGACCUCACAGUAAAAUGCUGACUGACCAGCCCUUAACCAACAGGUGUAGACCUCACAGUGAAAUGCAGACUGACCAGCCCUUAACCAACAGGUGUAGAGAGAAAUAAUAAAGUAAAACGCAUAAUAAUAAAAGUUAUAAUAAAUACACAAUGAGUAACGAUAACUUGACAUGGUCUCAACUAGCAACAUGAUAUCAUGGAUGAAACAGCAGUUUGACAUGGUCUCAACUAGCAACAUGAUAUCAUGGAUGAAACAGCAGUUUGACAUGGUCUCAACUAGCAACAUGAUAUCAUGGAUGAAACGGCAG